rnacentral:miRNA from 1 species
GAACGUUCUGGAGAACUCUAGAGU